CAUCAAUUAUGUUCUUCAUCUAAUCCAAUUAGAUUUAAUGUAUCAUAUACAUCAUAUCAAAUCUAAAACUUAUCUUAUACUGAUUAUAAAAUAUCAAUUUUAAAUUUGAUAUCAAAUAAAAAAAUAAUUAGAUGUAAAUAUGAAUGUAUAAAGAAUUAAUUUUUGAUAAAAUCUGUUUUCACGUAGUACUGAAUUAUGAUAUGAUUCAGAUCUAAAUAUCCAU
rnacentral:lncRNA from 1 species